UUUUUUUUUUUUUUUUACAAGAUGGGAUGUUGAAUUUAUAGUGAAUUGGCUACAUAUCUGAUUGCUAAUAUCUUUUUUGGUAUAUAACUCAGUUAAAUAUUAAGUGAAAACAUUCCUGAUCAUGUCUUCUUCUUUGAGGUUAUCUGACUUCCACACAUGGCUGAUAUUAACUUAGAAAUUUAUUACUUAGGGAAAUCACUGAAAAAAAUGUCUUGGGCUUUGUAGAGCGAAAGGGAUGAAAGACCAGGACACCCCCAAACUUAGUUUGUAAAUGCUUUGGCAGCCACUGUCAUUUCCAAGGCAUUUACAAAGCAGACGACAUUCUUCAGAAGUUACUACUGCUCUACUAAUACUCUUUCUUACCAAGAUUUCAGAGACUAUUGUGUACAUCGUAGCAAGGCCAAUCCUUCGUUAUAAGUUUUUUGUUUUGUUCUGUUUUUUUCCUUUUUGGCCACCCUGUGGCAUAUAGAGUUCCUGGGCCAGGGAUCAGAUCUGAGCUACAGUCACACCCUAAGCCGCAGCUGUGACAACGCUGGAUCCUUAACUCCUUAACUCACUGUGCCAGGCCAGGGAUCAAACCUCCGACCCAAUGCUCACAAGACACUGCUGAUCCCAUUGCACCACAGCAGGAACUCCCUUUGUAGUAAGUUUAAUAAGGACCAUGACAGUGGGUUGCAAAGAAAGGGACAAUGCCUCUUCUGAAUUUGUAAUGCCCCUACUAAGUUCAGCAUCAACACUUCAAAAGAAGCUUUAGGAGCUUUCAAAGGUCCUUGGCAAGGAGCACCUUAUGUUUGAACCAGAGAACCUUAACAAAAAGUUCAUAAAAAUGCCAAGGCAUUUCUGUCCUGAUUUAGGGCCCAUGAGUCAUGAUUGUGAUCAACUUCAGCAUGGAAGCUGUUAGCAACGUGAUACAUCUGGUUACUGACUGCACCCCAGCUGUUCCCCUGGAAAGGUGCAAAAGAGAGAAUCAUCAGCCUGCAGACAUGAAAGACGGCAUCUGAGAAGCGCUACUGUGUACCUAUGAAAGCACCAAAGCAGAGGAGCUGAUUUAACUCGAACCACCCUCAAUGUAGAGAUGCACAUAGAGCAGGAGGCCAUGGAUGAGAACAUCGGACUUGAUCAAGAAUGAGGUGUCAGAGAAUGAUACGCUAGCAUUCACCCAUCCCUUAAAAUAGCCAGUUAAUCCUAUAACUUGAAAAUACAAGAAAACUAGUAUGGAAAGUAAACACACUUGAACAAACUACUGGAAGGAGGAGGCAAGCAUUGUGGUUUGUCAGUUUUUCUCCUCCCCUCCCCAUCCCUAAAUGAACUUUUUUGUAUCUAUCUGUUCUAACCAGGCAGCUGCUGAAAUUUUCACUCCUGAUUUGGUUGCCUCCAGAAUUGAUUUUUGUAAUUCUCUUUUACGGCCUUCCCUUACCAGGCUAUUUUGAGGUUGCGACAUACUCUGAAUUCAGCAGGUGUUUCCAGCCUGGCAACGUCUUAUUGCUUCUCUUCUGGCCCCCUUUAGUGACUCCCUGUAUCAAACGUGAUUGCUCCUCUGAUUUUAAUUUUUACUUGCUGUGUCACCGAACAACCUUGUUAGUCCUAUCACUGAGCCCAGUUGGCGAGGUUAGCAGGUCUGAGUAGUUCUAUGCUCCAUAAACCGCAGUGGUAUUAGCAAGUACAACUGCACAUUCUGAAUCACCUUGCCCUUAUUAUUACAGGAAGCCAUCUGACAUAUUUUGAGGGAGAAACUACUUUAGAGGGAAAAAAGAAAAAAAUCAAAGCAGACUCUGCCUCUCAACAUGCUAAUCACCAAUGACUGGAAUUUUCAGGAACUGAUUCCACCUUUAGGCUUCUAGUUAAAAUUGAAUUUAGGUGUAUGUCUGUGUGUGUACAUAUUUUUAAUAUUUUAUUAUUUGGUAUUUUUAGUAUUUUUAAUAUGGCAUUUGAACUGCAGUGAAGCCAGCUCUCUUUCCUUGGUUUCAUGUGUGUAUCACUUGUAUUCUGUGAUUCAAAAAUAUCAAGAAAUCUAUGUAGCUUUACUGGAAAUUCAGUGAAGCUAGACACUAAAGGCAAAUACAUAUAAAUAGCUCCCAGCAGAUAAGGCCUUGCAAAUCAGUUCAGUUAGUUGAUGUAUUUGUGCAUGUAUAGCCAUGACAUUUGUAUAAAUGUUGUCCCAACAUAUAUACAUAACGGGGAGUUAAAAAUCAGCUUCCUUGGUUUUGUAGCUUCACAAAUUUCCUCAAGCUAACAAAUUUUCCCAUUUAAGGGCAUUUUCAAAUGGGACCCCACAAGGUUGUUUUUUCUUUCCUUGGUUUCAAAGUAAUUUUCAAUCUAAGAAAAAUAUACUUAAAUAUAUACAAAAGAAUACAUUAUUAAUAAUAACAACUAAUGUUUAUUGAAUAUUUGCUAUAUAUACACCAUCAUAUUAAGUGUCGUAUGUGCAGUAUCCCAUGCUAAUUUUCAAAAUGGGUUAGUCAGUGGCAGUUACAGAUGUUCUCUGUACUGAGAAUCAACUUGUCUUAAAGCUGAAUUGAAUUUUUAAAUUUUCUUUUUGGGGCCUCACCUGUGGCAUAUGGAGGUUCCCAGACCAGGGAUUGAAUUGGAGCUAAGCCACUGGCCUACACCACAGCCACAACAAUGCGGGAUCCAAGCUGCAUCUGUGACCUACACCACAGCUCAUGGCAACAUCGGAUCCAUACUCCCCCAUAGGCUGGGGAUCAAACCUGCGUCCUCGUGGAUGCUAGUCACAUUCGUUUUCACUGAGCAACGAUGGGAACUCCUGAAUAUCCAUUUUAAGCAUAUUUUACACACUUGGUGCAUAUGUCUUGGAUCAAUAUAAAUUUCCUUAAAAAUACUUUCACACUGUACAUAAGACUAGGAAGGUAUUUAUGUCAAUUUCAGAGAUUAGGAAUUAUAUGUAGGGGUUAUGUCUGGAGUUUCAGCUAAAACCCUUCUACAACACCCCUUGGCACUAUGCUAAUUGUAGAUUUAUCCCAGUUUUACUUUGAUAAACAUGAAACUAAGGCUUAUAGAGUUUGUUUGUUUGCUGUUUAUGGCUACACCCAUCGCAUAUGGAAGUUCCCAGGCUAGGGGUCAAAUCAGAGUCUAGCUGCUAGCCUAUACCACAGCCACAGCAACACAGGAUCUGAGCCAUAUCUGCAACCUACACCACAGCUCACAGCAACACUGGGUCCUUAACCCACUGAGUGAGGCCAGGGAUUGAUCCUGCAUCCUCAUGGAUACUAGUUGGAUUCUUUUACCCUGAGUCAUGAUGGGAACUCCAAGGCUUAUAGAGUUUAAAUGCUUUCUCAAGGUCAUACAACUGGUAAAUGGUGAAGAACAAAACUAGUCUUUGUGAACUCAGAAUCUGUGAGCUUUUAACUACCAUGAGUACCAUCAUCUCUCAUCCUCCAGCAGUCUGUUAGCCAUUGGUCCCAAAUUUAUGGACUCUAUUCUUAUGCCACUUUCUCUAUCCUUUUGGUUAAACUGAACCCUCUUUGUAACUACAAAGAUGAUGGUGAGUCACUAGCCCAAUGUGUGGAAAUAUUACGUAGGGUCAGAAGAUACCUAGAAAGCCCAUCUAACUACUCCACAGCUUUGUUUGCAGCACUUUCUGUAUUAUGGCUGUUUUUUGUGUUUUUUGUGUGUGGUGUUUUUUUUUUUUUUUUCAUUUUCAUUUUUUAAAGUUUUUUUGAAGUAUAGUUGAUAUAUAAUAUUGUGGUAAUUUGUGCUGUACAACACAGUGAUUCAAUUAUACAUAUACCCACAUGGCUAUCUUUUGUAGAAUGGUUUAUAGCAUUUGUCAAACUUGUUUGGUUGAAAGUUUAUAAUGCCACUGAAUCCUUGACUCGUCAGUUAAAGAAAAAUCAUUCCUUAGUGGAAGUUACAUCAGCAUUAUUCAUUAUUGCACUAGAGAGUGUAUUUUGGUCCAUUCUCUCACAUAGAUCAAAUUCCUGAGGGAAUGAAUUAGAGAAAGAAGUUCUGGGUACGAGUUGAUUGAGGUUCUCCAUUGCCUGAAGCCUGAGUUAGUUGUUAGCAAGAGUCUAAAAUGCCUUCUUUAUUGAGAUUUGGAGCCCUUGUUUCUCAAGUCAGAGCCUUGAUUUGGGGCAUCCUACAUUUCCCUAUUCUACUUACAGAAUUCUUUUUUUUUUUGGCCACACAAGCAGCAUAUGGAAGUGCUCAGGCCAGCAAUUGAGCCCAUGCAAGAGCAGUGACCCCAGCUGCUGCAGUGAGAACACUGGAUUCUUAACCUGCUGGGCCACAAGAGAACUCUGGUUAUGGGAUUCUUGUUAAUAGAUAGCAUGUCAUCCACAGAUUACAAGCGUUAAAUGGUAGUAAUAUAACAGAAACAGACAGAAGACCAAUGUACUAGUUACUUUCUUGUUUGUUUGUUUUUCUUGCACAGCAUGUGGAAGUUCCAAGGCUAAAGAUCAAACUCCUACCACAGCAGUGACAAUGCUGGAUUCUUAACCCACUGAGCCACCAGGGAACUCCUCUAGUUACUUUCUCUACAAAGCACAAACUUGUCUGUUGAAUAUGCUGUCCUACAUUUUGACUUAGGGGGAAAAAGAAAGCUUAAGUAAAAGGGGGUUCCUUGAGCACAUAUAGGAAUAUAUCCUAUUAAGGCAAUGUUGGGAACUGUUUGAAAACUUAAAUUCCAGGGUGGUUUACAGGGCAGAAUGAAUAUGAAUGAAGAGACUAUUGGGGUAGGGGUUUCUUCACUUACUUGACUAGAAAUUGUUGUUUAAAAAGCUUUCAAAUCUUGAGUCUCUUCCCAUAUUUCUAUGCCUCUCACUUCUCUGCUAAAUUGUAACUGUCUGGAAAUGUUUUUUUCAUUUAGGAUGGAACAAAUUUGUUAUUACUCUAUAGGAUUAGGGAGUAAUAUUCAGGGUUAAUUAAAUAGUAACUGAUCUUUCCCUAUAUGCCAAACAUCAAAGACUAAUACCAUUAGAAAUGCAGUGUACUCCUUAUGUUGAAAAUAUACAACAUGAAAUUGUAUCUCUGAGAUGGUGCUUGAGGAUCUCCUAGUGUGGAAAAAUCAUUAGAAAUUGUCAGUCUCCAGUAAUGUUAUGCAAGUGCUGGUUUAUAGAGAUUUUUCUGUGCUGAGAGAAGCAGAUAAUCAAAUCUCUACAGAAACAAAAUCUGAUGGAAAAUAAUUCUGGUGCUCUGCUGAUUUAAGUGUCUGAAUAAAAUGGAUUAGAUAAAUAGAAAAAAUGAACAUGUAAGUAGUAGAGAUAGUAGUUCCUAAAUAUCAAAUUCAGAAACUUUUGAUUAGUGGCUUAUAUUUCAUGUCAUAUGGCUUAAAGAUUCCUUAUUUCCUGUGCUUAAAAACGAAAUGUGGUGUGUAUGAGAGCUCCAAUUGAAUAAAAAUAACCCAUUCUGGGCUCUUACAUCCUUUCUUUAACAAAGCUCUGUCUCCUGGCAUAGGGCAGCUUAGUAUAAUGGAGAAGAAAAGAGAUGUGGAUUUGUUCCCCAACUCUUCCACUUUGUAGUUAUGUGUAUCAGUUGGGAUAUGCAGCAUAGUCUAGGUUGUGCC
rnacentral:lncRNA from 1 species